GCCAAAAAAACAAGAAGAAGAGAGAAACAUCCAAUUUCAAGUGCGUUAUUUGAAUUGUUCUUCAUGAAAAGACCCGUCGACUACUCGUGUUUCGGAGUCUACGCAGUGUCAGCUGUUUGCCAAGAUUCACGUGGAUAAGCAAGCAGUGAGUUUAUAGUGCUAUUUACCGCUUUAUUAAGUACUGUAAUACCCCGUAAAUUUUCAGCGUUUUUCCGACAAAUUUUCCGAUCGUUUUGAAGUAAAAUCGAAGUUAAUGGUCUGGUUCAUGUUGGUUCGUGAUUGGGUUGAUUUUGUGGUUCUACCAUUUAAUAUUUUUUUUAAAAAAAUCAAUUAAUUCUCGUACGAGACACAAGGUCUCGUACGAGACCUUUGUUUUCAAAGGCCUGGUCUCGUUCGAGACCAGGAAUUUCGAACGAGACCCAGCCUUAAAUGGCUGAGUCUCGUUCAAGAAAUUGAUGAGCUCUUAUGAGCUUGUCACCCGCCUACUUUCCAACUCGUUUUUAACCUAAUUUCGUUUGAUAUUUAUGAACGCUUUCUAAAUAGAAAACCUUCACCACACUUCACUGAAACCCUAGCCAUCAUCUGCUUGCUCGUUCUCUGAAAAACGAAAAUGAAAUCGUCAUCCAAAGUUGAUGCCUCGGUAAGAUUCCUUGCGUUGUAAAUUUUAGUUUUCGCUUUUAAACGUCUUUCGGUUUUCUGAUUCGUUCUUGCUCGUUUCUAGAUCGAAAUUGAUUCCGCUUGAUCUCAGACGUUCUAGACUCAAUUCUCUAUAUUUUCUUAUCUCGUUUACGCCAAACGACCCGUCUACUGUUCGUGCUUCAGAGGCGAACCAGGAUUAGUUGCUUGCCGGUUAUCACGUGGAUUAGCAAGCAGGUUAUGAUCUGAGAGAGUCUGGUGAUCUCCGCAUUUACUUUUCUUCGGAGGUUCCAUUUAUUUUAGUAGAACUAUUAAACUAUUUUAUUCUUAGACCGCAGUAGUUGACUAGACGUCUUUAUUAUUAUUACAGUUGUUUGUCGGAUUGGUCCGACUAGUUAUAUUGCUCUGUUAUGUUACAUUAUUUACACUGAUUUAUGUUAUGCCUAUUUUUAGACUCAGAAUUGGAUAAGUAUGUUAUAUUAAUUGUUGAAUAUUAUAACUGCUAGAAUUAGGCUGAAGUCUCUGUUGCCCCCGAGCAUUGGUUUUCUGCAGGUUUAAUUGAAUUGUAUGUUAUAAGGAAGGCUAGCUACGGGUGUUGGUACUACAUUAUCCAUGCCCUAGC